GAGGGAGGAGAGAGAGGGAGAGAAAUGUCACCCGGAGCCCGGGCCCGCGGGGGAGAGGUGGCGCGUUAGAGAUGUGUGUGGGAGAGAGGGAGAGAGAGAGAGAGAGAGAGAGAGAGGGAGAGAGGGAGAGGGGGAGCGAGACCUCCGCUGGCCCCGCGAACUUGUCAAGCCAACUGCCGCAGUACAAAACACCAAGGUUUUGGGGCUCAAAAAGCUUAGACCAUCAUGGCUAUGAAAACUACUGCUGCUCAGAAAGUAUGUAAUUCUGGCGCUCCUUAAGGAAAAAAAAGCAGUGCAAGGCAACAUAUUUAAUGGUUGUGGAAAGUUCUGGCUUGGUAUCUUUGAAAGCUGAAGCCCAUUCUUUAUUCCUGGAUAAAUGACAGCAGACCAGUUGCCUAUUGCUUCUCCACAGCACCCAUGUACUUCAACCUUGAACUGAAGAAGACUCAUCAAAUGCCUUACAAAAGACAGCAUGGAGUUGGAAGAGAAGCAAGGAUCUCCAUGAAGGGCUGUCAGUUAUAGCUGUGGUGUGUGGAGGAACAGGUCCUGUUCUCACUGUUGUUACUCCCACGUAGGCAGACUCUGUAAUUGAUUAUGUGUGGGUAGGGCACUAUUGAAAUUCAGGAGAUUCUGCAGUAGUGCGUGGUUCUUUUUGUGAAAGUUUGGUUGCAAGAUCAGGACCCUGCCGUGACUCCUUACUGUGAAUUCUGUCACUGUCUCAUUGACUGUGCUGGAACCUGCCUAUUGGGAUAAUUACCAAAUACUGUAUUCCUCAAAACUUCUUAAUCACGCUGAGGCUUUGUGGAUAGUUGAUCACAUGAUAAGAAAAUUCAGCUAUUGUCAAGGUUGUCAAUAAGGAUAAGGCAUGUUAUCUGUUCAUGCAAGCAGAACUAUUAUUCUUCUUGCACUGCUUGGUUCUAUGGUCAGGAAGCUGAUUUCAGCAUUGUCAAUGCCCUUUUUCCUUGUCUUCUAAUUCUCUCUAGCAUAUGCUCUUCAGGUCUGCUUUACUUGUAGUGCUGAGCUAUUGUGAUAGUUUGAUUUUUUAUGAUUUGCAUCAAGUGUGAAGCUUUCAAAGCCAUGUGUCAAAGUUUUCAAUGGUAAUGUUCCUUCCCGCAUCUUCCAAACACCUGAACUUCAAGACAGGAACUGGGGCAGCAAAGUCCCUUCCACUGUAAGARAGGAGUGGGUUUGAGACCACCUGAGGAACCUGAACACAAGCYUGUGGGACCUGAUGAGGUGCAUUCCAGAGUCCUGAAGGAAUUGAUUGAUGUGGUUGCCAAACUGCUCUCCAUCAUUCUCGAAAAAUCAUGGCAGUCAUGUGAAGCUCCCARUGACUGGAAAAAAGGAAACAUCACCCCCAUUUUUAAAGCAGUAAAAAGGGGGAUGCUGGGAAUUACCAACCAGUCAGCCCUAUCUCCAGCCUGGCAAGAUUAGAGGUAGCCAGCAUGGUUUCACCAAGGGCAAGUCCUUCCUGGCCAACUUCCUGGUACUGUAUGAUGGAGUGACUACAUCAGUGGACAAGGAAAGAGAUUUAACCUGCUUUCCAAGACCUCCAAGGAUGGAGAUUACAGAACCUCUCAUCAAGAUGGGAGAAACUGGAGGAACAGAGCUGUGAAGUUACCCUUUCAAAGCUGUACAGGAGGCCAAUGAUAAAUCCAGGUGUAGUAGYCAAGUCUCCAAAAUUCAGUCUAAUGCCAUCAACAAGUCAAUGUAAUGAACAAGGAAGUUUGUCUUCUCAUGUUACAGUGAGGAAGGACUCCCAAGGCAUGGCUGUAAUGGUUGUUUGAAACAAGAAACAGAGACACUUUUGGUGUCAUUCACCUCUGAUCACUGGGAAUCUGAGCUUGAAUGAAGACGGAAGAAAACUCCUACAGAGAAYUGGGAAUGGUUUGUUUCUUAAGAAGGGUAUAAUAACAUUUUAAAUGUUUUUUCCAAAUACCAGGGCAUGUGAUAAAAGUUUAUGGACUGGGAAUUAAUUGAAAGACUGUGAAAUGAGAAAGAAUGAACAUUAUGGGAAGCCUUGGAGAGCGACUACCUAAGCACCCUGAAAUUUGUGACCAAAGCCACAGAAUAUCCGAAUGUGAUGGAACUAUCUCAGAUGACUGUUUUUAAACAUAUAAUUUGCCAGCCUCUGUAGUCUUCCCCAGACUGACUGGGAAAAUACAUACCUUUUAUUAAUAUUAGUCCAGGGGACUGGUGGGUAUUCUGGGGGGUGAAACAUAUAAUUUAUGGAAUUUGCUACAGAAUUCAGAUUUUAAAAAAAGGCAGUGCUAAUUUGUACCUGGGAGUUGGUAUCUAUUUUAAAAAGUACUGUUCUAAAGAUAUUUUUUUGACAUUUUUUACAUGUAUUGAAUAACACAUCUAUAUGAUGAAACAUGAAAUGUUUAAUUACAUGAAUAUACAUGAAAUGUAUAAUUAAAACAAUGACCAUAAGUAUAGAAUUGUGUAAAUAUGACCUAAAUCAUGUGUGUAAACAUUAAAUAAAUGUUUCAUUUCUAGAGGUUACAGAAAAGACUGAAAAAGUUUAUACAGUCUUUCCACCUCCCCCCACCAGUUUUUGGUACAAUUGCAUUUUUAGCUAAUUCAUAUAUUAGUUUUUUAAUAUUUGCACUUGUGUUAAAUUUUACUGAGGAACAAUUUAGUUUGGGGAAACCACUGAAUCUGUGGUUUGUGUUGUUUGAACAAGAAGUCCCAGAGUAAUUGUCCCAAAUGGCAAUGUUUCUCCUACACUGGCAGCUGUGUAUUUGUGGUGACCUGAUGGCAAUGCACGCAAAGACCGUGUGCUGUGGCAGUGCCUCUCACAGGGAGCACCAGCAGGGAAACUGGAUGUGAUCACCACACUCAGAAUUUGCUCUUCUUGGUGAAGGCCUCAUGUAGGCAGCACUUAAAUGACACUUUUUGUUUCUCCACAAGGUGAAGGUAAGAGAUGGAAACCAUUUGAAAGCUAUUGCUUAUGUUCCCUGAAAGGGGAUGGAGAGAACAGCUCUUCUGAGACACUGCUUUACACUGAACAUGUGCAGAGCUGUGUCAUCGGUAAUUCUGAAAAUGUGUUUACAAUGGUUGGGUGAAAUAUUCAGUCACCAUUUAAAUAUGUUAGCUCAUACACRAACUUUAGGUGUCUACUGCACUUAACAUUUCCAAUAACUGGUUUCAUUAAGAUUUUUAGUGAUGCAAAUUAAUAACAAAAGGCAGUUAAUACAGAGUGCAGUUAUGAGACCAAAAUACAUGUGGUUUAAAUUUAAAGAGUUAAAUGUUAGUAUUUCCCUAUAGAGAAAGGUAAUUUGGGCUGACAUUAUCACCGCCCACAGAGAAGGGGAGCUGUUGAUUCUAUUGGUUAAGCAGAAAUUCAGAAAAGGAAAAUGUAGGUCUAGAGGGUUGGCUUGGUGUAAGUGAAUCACACAGGAAAAAUGCUGAUACCCAGGGUUGUCAUAGUGACCUUCUUUGAUGGUUAGAAAGAGAAAUAAGCACGGGAUAUUUUUGUCAAGUUCGAGGGUUUAGAUUGCUUGCUAGGUAAAAUUUGUCUUAGUUAUUAAUACGGUGGAAAGUUAAAUUAUGAUCAUGGAAAUAUGAUAAUAAGUGCUGUUGUAAAUCAGGCAGAAAUUAUAUUCUGUGGGUAUUUAGAAUAUUCCAAUGUGUUAGCAAUUGGGCUGAUGGGCUGCUAAGGACUUUAAUAUGGAAAAUAAAGGAAAACUUCAGUCAGGAAGGUGUUUCUGGACACUGCCAUGCUGCUUCUGGCAAAUACUAUUUGAUAAGGUAUAGGUAAACAACCAGCAUUCAUUUACCAGAAAACAGUGUUAUCUGUAUGUCUGGAUUUCUGUUUGAAAAAGCCUUUGUAAUAAUCUUAUUGGGACUAGUUAGAAACACAUUAUUAAUAAAAAAGUUACAAAUUUGCCAGUAUGUAAAGUUAGUUUAAUCUGAAAAYUCUGUAAAUUUUUUUAUUAUUCCUGGGAGAAAAUGACAUAAAAUUGAAUGUGUUUGAGUAGUUUCAUGCAGACAUGGGACUGCACAGAAAAUCCAGGUAUCAGUAUCACUGCUUGUAAGUAGAUUUUGUCUCUAACCCUCAGUCAGUCGGCUUGAACACAAGCUGAGCUAUCCCAAACUACCAGUUSUCUGCACUUUGGCUUUUGAAACUUUCCAUGUGAGAUAUAGUUUCAACUUGAAAAGUCAAAAUACAGCGGUUUACAAUCAGUUUUACAUUGGUUGAAGCUAAAACUCGAAACAAAAUUCCUGGAGUAUAGAACUGUAUGAAGCAAAACAUAACAAAGUUAACAAAAAACUCAAACUGAGCAAGCUAGUUUCACUCAGCUCUUGAAAUAACCCCUUUCAGCAAGUUCACUUUUCAACUGCACAUGUGUGAGAUGUCAAAAAUGAGUUGGUUUCACAACCCCAUGCCACAGAUAAAUGUCACAACUCUAAAGCUUCACCCUCUUGUUGAAGUAAAGUCUCACACUCAUUCCCUGUUUUGGCUUAUACAUUUGAAAUCUGACAAUAGAUGAGAUUUUCUCAGUUCUAAGUUAGUUACACUGAGCUUUUGUUCAUCUGUAAAAUGAGGAAUUUUGGUAWGACCCAAAUUCCAGUUUGUAUGUUUUUUAUACUUCUAUCCAGCACUGAGAAUUUUUUUCCCAAAUCUUUAUCAAUACUCUAAAUGGCUCCUAGUCCSAAAAGGAGGAUAGCCACUUCACCACCUGGAGGUCAUUGAAGGAUUCACGUGCUUUAAGUUCGAAACUUGAUAUUUCAGAGGUGCUAAACACCUGCUGCUCUUCCUAGCUGGUAUGGGAGCUGCAGGCUCAUGUCCUUGUGAAGAUCAGACCCCUCAUCCUGUAGUGCAUUCAUACUGGGGAAGUGAGCAGUCCUCUGYUCUGUUUUCAGUUUUUGCAAAAUUUUAGUGUAACUGGCUUGAAACAAACUGAUGAGCUGCACUGAUAUUGUCCUGGUUUCAGCUGGCUGGUACAGUGCUGUGUUUUGGAUUUAG